rnacentral:rRNA from 1 species
GAUGAACGCUGGCGGCGUGCCUAAUACAUGCAAGUCGAGCGAACGGACGAGAAGCUUGCUUUUCUGAUGUUAGCGGCGGACGGGUGAGUAACACGUGGAUAACCUACCUAUAAGACUGGGAUAACUUCGGGAAACCGGAGCUAAUGCCGGAUAAUAUUUUGAACCGCAUGGUUCAAAAGUGAAAGACGGUCUUGCUGUCACUUAUAGAUGGAUCCGCGCUGCAUUAGCUAGUUGGUAAGGUAACGGCUUACCAAGGCAACGAUGCAUAGCCGACCGGAGAGGGUGAUCGGCCACACUGGAACUGAGACACGGUCCAGACUCCUACGGGAGGCAGCAGUAGGGAAUCUUACGCGAUGGGGGAAAGCCUGACGGAGCAACGCCGCGUGAGUGAUGAAGGUCUUCGGAUCGUAAAACUCUGUUAUUAGGGAAGAACAUAUGUGUAAGUAACUGUGCACAUCUUGACGGUACCUAAUCAGAAAGCCACGGCUAACUACGUG